GAUGAACGCUGGCGGCGUGCCUAAUACAUGCAAGUCGAGCGAACAGACGAGGAGCUUGCUCCUCUGACGUUAGCGGCGGACGGGUGAGUAACACGUGGAUAACCUACCUAUAAGACUGGGAUAACUUCGGGAAACCGGAGCUAAUACCGGAUAAUAUAUUGAACCGCAUGGUUCAGUAGUGAAAGACGGUUUUGCUGACACUUAUAGAUGGAACCGCGCCGCAUUAGCUAGUUGGUAAGGUAACGGCUUACCAAGGCAACGAUGCGUAGCCGACCUGAGAGGGUGAUCGGCCACACUGGAACUGAGACACGGUCCAGACUCCUACGGGAGGCAGCAGUAGGGAAUCUUCCGCAAUGGGCGAAAGCCUGACGGAGCAACGCCGCGUGAGUGAUGAAGGUCUUCGGAUCGUAAAACUCUGUUAUUAGGGAAGAACAAAUGUGUAAGUAACUAUGCACGUCUUGACGGUACCUAAUCAGAAAGCCACGGCUAACUACGUG
rnacentral:rRNA from 1 species